GACGAACGCUGGCGGCGUGCUUAACACAUGCAAGUCGAACGAAGUGGCGAACGGGUGAGUAACGCGUAAUCAACCUGCCCUUCAGAGGGGGACAACAGUUAGAAACGACUGCUAAUACAGCCUACUGAAGGAGGGGAUUGCGUCUGAUGCGCUAGUUGGAGUGGUCACGGCCCACCAGGGCGAUGCACAGUCUGCGGUCUGGUCGGAUGAACGGCCACAUUGGGACUGAGACACGGCCCAGACUCCUACGGGAGGCAGCAGGGGGGAAUCUUCCGCCAUGGACGAAAGUCUGGCGGAGCAACGCCGCGGGAGUGAUGACGGCCUUCGGGUUGUAAAGCUCUGUUAAUCGGGACGCGGUACCGGAAUAGAAAGCCACGGCUAACUACGUGCCAGCAGCCGCGGUAAUAC
rnacentral:rRNA from 1 species